rnacentral:rRNA from 1 species
UAGCCGUAAACGAUACUCGCUAGGUGUCGGCCACGGUGCGACCGUUGUCGGUGCCGUAGGGAAGCCGUGAAGCGAGCCACCUGGGAAGUACGGCCGCAAGGCUGAAACUUAAAGGAAUUGGCGGGGGAGCACCACAACGGGUGGAGCUUGCGGUUUAAUUGGAUUCAACGCCGGAAAUCUUACCGGGACCGACAGCAACAUGAAGGCCAGGCUGAAGACUUUGCCGGAUUAGCUGAGAGAGGUGCAUGGCGUAGUCGUGU